rnacentral:rRNA from 1 species
GUGGGGAAUCUUCCGCAAUGGACGAAAGUCUGACGGAGCGACGCCGCGUGAGUGAAGAAGGCCUUCGGGUCGUAAAGCUCUGUCAUCAGGGACGAACGGCCGGUGGAGUGGAAAGCCACCGGAUUGACGGUACCUGAGAAGGAAGCCACGGCUAACUACGUGCCAGCAGCCGCGGUAAUACGUAGGUGGCAAGCGUUGUCCGGAAUUAUUGGGCGUAAAGCGCGCGCAGGUGGGAUCUUAAGUCCAUUUUUAAAGUUCGGAGCUCAACUCCGUGAUGGGAUGGAAACUGGGAUUCUUGAGUACCGGAGAGGAAAGCGGAAUUCCCCGUGUAGCGGUGAAAUGCGUAGAUAUGGGGAGGAACACCAGUGGCGAAGGCGGCUUUCUGGACGGUGUCUGACACUGAGGCGCGAAAGCGUGGGGAGCAAACAGGAUUAGAAACCCGUGUAGUCC